AGUUAUUUUGUCCACUGGGGAAGGGGUCCUCUUCCUACCUAGUGCUUUUCUCUCUUUCUUUCUUUAGGUUUAGAGAGAUAGAGAGAGAGAGAGUGAGAGGACUAGAGGAGUUUAGGAGGAGAAGGAGAUCGGAGGGUUUUGGUGGGUGGGAGUUGGGGGCAGCAGCAGGGAGAGGCGAGAAGAGAGUGGAAUCGGAGGAGGGGAGGCCGUUCGUCGGGGGAUAUCUUGGGACACGAUGGAGAAGCGGCUCAAGGAGUAUUUCGGCAAGUACGGCGAGGUCCUGCAGACGGUGAUCAUGAGGGACAAGGUGACGGGUCGCCCCCGGGGAUUCGGCUUCGUCGUCUUCGCCAACCCCUCCCUCCUCGAUCGCGUCCUCCAGGACAAGCACAGCAUCGACGGCCGCACCGUCUUUUGUGGGAUACUUCCGCUUUCUUUAUAUAUUUCUAUAUAUAAAGAAUAUAUAAAGACGCACAGAGAGAGAUAUGCACAUUUGUCUGGAAUAAUAGCAUCUCGGAAUCUUUUCUUGGGAUUUGGAUGGGAUUCCCCGUUUCAGGGUUUCGAGUUCUUGCUAGUCGUUUGAAUCUUAGAUGUAAACUUUGUUGCACCGGCAUUUGUGGCUUUCUUGUGAGACAGUUGGGACAUCAACGGUAAUAGAGAGACUAUUUAUAAAGGUUCGAAUAAAAUGUUCGGUAGGGAAAAUGCCAAUCAUAGUAGUAAUUGUGAUAUUUGUCAAUGGCAUAAUUUUUUUUUCCCUUUGGUAUUUUACCUUCUUUAUGGGUGAUGCAGCUCUCUCAUAGUGCUCUCACUCUUCACCAAUCACUGAAGCUUUCAAUAGAUUCUGGUGUUUACUCGGGGCCAGGAUAACCGCAAUCAUUGGUUCUUUAUCUCACAAACUUUAUUUUCUUCCUACACAAUGCUAGCUGGAUUUUGCAUGUUCACCUUGAAUCAUGUGAGUAGUGAAGAGAUUGCGUAUGAUGACUAAUGGUGUGAGUGAACUAAUAAAUCUCAUCUAUAAUACCUCAUUUUGGAUUACAAUUCCUUUGCUUUUAUCCUGAGAUUGAAUUAAUCUUUUUAAAUAUCCAGUAGAAUCAGAUAAACUGAGUUGUAGUGAUUUGAAACUUGUCUGACAAACAAGUCUAUUAUGGUUGAAAGCCUUGAUGCCUCAUCAUUUUUUUGAUGCCAUCCUUUCCAGUUUUGGUUCUGAAAUGGCCACCACAGUUACAUGCUAGAUACAAGGAUUUGCCAAUUAUAUAUGGUUGUGUGUGUGUGUUGUUUUUUUUUUCUUUUUUACCUUUUUCUUGGUUGGAUUGGUAAAAAGAUGCUUUACAUCCUAGGGGUUACUGCACCGAUACAAGUAUCAUUUGGAAAUUUUUGAUGCUUUUGACUGAAUAUGAUAUUAUUAGCAACGUAAUAUCAAGCAUGAAUUUGUAGAGGAAUGUUUAGGAGAAGCUUUCAUGGUUCAUGCAGUGCUCCUUCCCAACAUUACAUUUUGCUGAGAAGGACCUGCCAUGGGCAUUGGUUUGAUCUUUCUCUUGCAGAAAUUGUGAGGGUGUCAUCUGCACUCACCAAUGUGUCUUUUUGGGAGAGGCAUUGACUAGAACUGUGAAGGAUGUGGAACGGUUAACGGAGAGGUAGUGGUGAAAGUUCUUUCGCCCAACUUUUACCAGCUGAGGAGAAACUUGAUCUUUUUCUGCAGGCCACGUGCAAAUGAUUGUAAAUUGAUGGCACUAUUGGUGGCUCAGCAAAUCUGUUACCUUCCUCGUAGUUGGGGCAGCUGUUGGGGGAUGCUAAGUACCCAAGGCUUUGAAAGAAUUUUCAUGCAAGUCUGUGUAGAUGAACUUUGGCCGGUCAAGAAUUCUCACUUAUGCAAUAAGGUGCUUGCACUCACUGAUUUCAGAUUGACAGGUAAUUAUAUCCCGAAAUAAGGUCUCGUUUGGCAUUAUUGUAACGGUUGAACUUUUGUCUGUGGGACUUUUGCUAGUAGAAUUUUAAUAAAAAAUUAUUUAUUAU